rnacentral:tRNA from 1 species
GACCCCUUCAUCUAGUGGCCAAGGAUGCCAUCUUUUCAAGGUGGACACAGAGGUUCAAAUCCUCUAGGGGUCG